ensembl:lncRNA
AUGUUGGGGUUGUCCUGAAGAAGCAGACUCAUCCUAAAAAACGGUCAACAUCUGUGCAAGCACUUUAAAAUGUGAUGUAUAUCAGCUGGCCCGCAGCCAGGGUGGAUCCACUCAUUCAGCUGGAACCUGAGUUUCUUGGCAAGUUCCCUACUGCUGGAAGUGUUAUCCCGUUAUCAGGCUAAUGGCUGCCGCCGAGGUGCAGAAGAACGCCCGCUGUUCUGGGCCGGGUAAAGCCCCAUUGCAGGAGAUGCACAUCUGGGUUAACUUCAGCAAGCAAAGGAAGAACAGAGGGAAUCGUUUCUGCUUUGGUCAUAUUUUGGUCCAUGUAAAGCUCGGUGGGAUGCUGCCUUUCUGUGUUACAGACUUUCUGCUCGGAAGCCCACUGCAUUUUCAGGGUAAGAACUUGUUUCUGUCCAGAUUUCGGCAUGCUGUGAGUCUCCUAUUGCGGAAGGGAGAUGAUGGGCUGUUUGACUUUUUUUGGUCUUUCCUACCUUUGGAAGCAUUUGAUAGCUUGAUUCCCUUUUGCCAUCAGGGUUUAUUCUCUACUGCUAUAUUUCAGAGAGGAGUAAGUUCCAGAAGAGACGUGAUAUUUCUCUUCUAGAUGUGCACUGCUGAUUUUGUGCUCUUAGGUCUCACUUCUGUGGUGUCCCUUACCCAGGGAGAAUGGUGAUGUUGGGCCACUGGAGGAGCUGAUGCCCCAUUUCUGACCAUAAUCUGCUUUUUACAUUUAUUGUUGGGACUGUGCCUUCUGCUCAUCGUCACUUUGUUUACAAGCUGCACGUCAGUGCAUCUUUUCAAUUACUGUAUUGCUUUCCUCUCCUCUCUCUUGCCCUAAGGAAUUACUGGAUGUUUCUCUGAGAGUUUCAUUUACUAACAUUUUCUUUCUGUUUAUGCUUUAUGGUGCGGUUUCAACACUUAAUUUGCUUUAGUACUUUCGCUUUGGCACCUCUGUAUGUUCGGUUUAGUCUGCAGUUCUUCUGUAUGUUCAGCACUUCUGAUGAACUUAAAUUCAAACUGCUGCUGACUCUGGGGACCAGGAAUCUUCAAAGGCCCCAUGGUUCUGGCCUGUCCUUGGAGAGCACUCAUUUGCUAAAGGACACACGUCUUAAGGGCACAGAAG